AUGAUUUUGAGUAUCAGGAGCAGGGAGGGACAGAGGCUGUGACACAAUCCACAUCACACCUAUCCUGUGAUUUUGGAGAUCUCACCUGAUAGACACACAGUGGUUUGGGUGAGGAGAUGCCUGGGUGAAUGGAGAAGAUGGAGAGAUAGGUGUGUCACUGUGAGAAGAUGCUAGAUGACCUGACCGAUAUGUCACAAAGCCAAUGUGUACUUGCAUCUGUGGGAUAAAGGCAGUCCCCACAAUAUGCUGUGGCACCGAUAUUGGGGGCAGUGAAGAAAGAAUCGUCUAGACGAGGUCCUCUGCAGCAUGCUCCACUGUUUAAGAUGGACCUUGUCACUGCGUACGAAGCCGCAUCAGCCACAGCCGCCCCGCUAAUGCCACUCCCUUGCCAGCUCCGCUUUGAUGUCCAUCGUCCAGCUCAAAUGACUCUGAGCACUAUGGGACUUAACU